rnacentral:rRNA from 1 species
UACGUAGGGGGGCUAGCGUUGUCCGGAUUUAUUGGGCGUAAAGAGCGUGUAGGCGGCCAUGUAGGUCCGGUGUGAAAACUCGAGGCUUAACCUCGAGAUGUCAUCGGAAACCAUUUGGCUAGAGUCCGGAAGAGGAGAGUGGAAUUCCUGGUGUAGCGGUGAAAUGCGCAGAUAUCAGGAAGAACACCAAUGGCGAAAAGCAGCUCUCGUGGGACGGUACUGACGCUGAGACGCGAAAGCGUGGGGAGCGAACAGG